rnacentral:lncRNA from 1 species
UACAGUUAUGUCGACUCUUACCUUUGCUUUUCAUUCGAAGCAAACCUUCUCCAGGUCAGCCACCUGUCCAGAGAGGAUUUGUACCUGUUCCUGGACAUGGAAACAUAAAAAAAAUAGUGUUAGUCACGCUUAAAGAAGUACAUAACUAAAAUCAAACAUGUAAGAGGAAUGAAACAGCAAAGAAAGUUCACUAACCUCCAGAGUCUCAAUCUGUUUAGUGACUUUCCACAUCCCCCUCAUGACGUCUUCAGCCUCCACCACCCGCUUAGUCAACCUCUCGAUCUCCUCCUGCACACCUAUCACCCAAGGCUGACGAUAAUGGAACCCAUCAGCCUUGGUUACAACAUUAAAAAAUAUCAGAUACUUGUACUUGAUGAAACCCAUAAACGAUAAUCAAACCGGAAAAAAGAUAACCUCGUGGUGUAUGCAGGUGAAGAACCGCUUCCCCGGAUUUGUGUCGUACUCGUCCUUCCGUCUAACC